GUUAGGGUCUGUGUGGGUCAUGUAGCAAAUGUAUAUACAACUAUUAUCCUAUACAUAUAUUGGUGGAAAGGAGAUUUUGAUAUACUGCAAUGAUUAUAGUUAAAGCAGGGUGUCAAAUAAAACUAGAAGUGUGCGUGAAGUGCUACCCCCAAAACCUCCAUACAUCAUUGUUCAAGACAUAAUUUAAGUUCGGUACCUUUAAUUUUAUGUUCAAUUCCUUGUGUGUUUUGUUUGAAAGUAAUGUUGCAACCUUAUAUAAGUUCUUGUUGGGGGUGGUCUUACAGAUGUCACAAGAGUGAGAACCUUGAGUAUAUUGUUUUAAUGAUUGUAAGAUGUGAAAGUAUGAUUCCAAAUGCCUAAAGUAAUAGACCAUUGAACUAAAAGAGAUGUGAUUCUAAGAUCUAUUGUUGAAUUUUAGUUAGUUACAGCAAGAAUGCUAGUGGAAUUGUGCCAACAGUAGACUAUUUUACAUAUAAGCAACAGUAG
rnacentral:lncRNA from 1 species